rnacentral:rRNA from 1 species
UAGGGAAUCUUCCACAAUGGACGCAAGUCUGAUGGAGCAACGCCGCGUGAGUGAAGAAGGUUUUCGGACCGUAAAGCUCUGUUGUUGGUGAAGAAGGAUAGAGGUAGUAACUGGCCUUUAUUUGACGGUAAUCAACCAGAAAGUCACGGCUAACUACGUGCCAGCAGCCGCGGUAAUACGUAGGUGGCAAGCGUUGUCCGGAUUUAUUGGGCGUAAAGCGAGCGCAGGCGGAAGAAUAAGUCUGAUGUGAAAGUCCUCGGCUUAACCGAGGAAUUGCAUCGGAAACUGUUUUCUUGAGUGCAGAAGAGGAGAGUAGAACUCCAUGUGUAGCGGUGGAAUGCGUAGAUAUAUGGAAGAAUACCAGUGGCGAAGGCGGCUCUCUGGUCUGCAACUGACGCUGAGGCUCGAAAGCAUGGGUAGCGAACAGGAUUAGAUACCCUGGUAGUCCAUGCCGUAAACGAUGAGUGCUAAGUGUUGGGAGGCUUCCGCCUCUCAGUGCUGCAGCUAACGCAUUAAGCACUCCGCCUGGGGGCAGUACGACCGCAAGGUUGAAAC